AAGAUCUCUAUCUGGAGAUCACUUCUCAUGGAGCCCUUCUGUGAGCCUAGGAUGCAGGUUGAUGGAUCGCAGUUGCUCAGAACUGGGAAAUACUCUCCUGAAUGAGUUCAACCAUUUUGAAAAACCUCUUAGCAUGAAAACAAUAUUAACCCACUGCCAAGACCUUAAGUAUCUGCUAUUAACUCUUCCUCAGAGUUGAAGGCAGCCAUUACUUUGCACACAAAAGCUUUCCUAAAAAGAAAUGGAACAAAUUCACCUCAGGUGUCAGUUCAUAGGCUUCAUCAAGGAUUGAUUUUGUCAAUGUGCCAAAUAAAGUAAUAGCUUUUCUAGUUCAGCCAGGAUUUUGUGCUUCAUUUCAAAUACUCUGUAGUUAUUUAACUCUGUUGGAAAAAAAAAAAAAAAACUCAUUCCCAUCUUGCUUGUACUUAUUCUACAAGAAGAAACUGAG
ensembl:lncRNA